GGAAGUUAAGAAACUGGUUCUUAAUUUUUAACUAAAAAAGCUAAGAACCGGUUCUUAAAUAAGGACUUUAAGAACCAGCUCUUAGCCUUUUUAGUUAAAAGUUAAAAAAUAGUUUCUUAAUUUCC
rfam:Brassica oleracea var. oleracea cultivar TO1000 chromosome C3, whole genome shotgun sequence